GUUUUCGUGGCCUAGUGGUUAGGGCGUCUGUCUUACAUGCAUGGGGAAUUUAACUUAUCCAAUUCCCCCCGUCUGAUCACAGAAGAUCCCCGGUUCAAUCCCGGGCGGAAACA